rnacentral:misc_RNA from 1 species
UCUCCGUUGGUGAACCAGCGGAGGGAUCAUUACAGAGUUGCAAAACUCCCAAACCAUUGUGAACGUUACCUAUCCCGUUGCUUCGGCGGGCAGCCCGGGCCCCGCGCCCGGCGCCCCCGGCCCCCCGUGGGCGCCCGCCGGAGGUAAACCAAACCCUUGAAUUGCACGGCCUCUCUGAGUCUUCUGUACUGAAUAAGUCAAAACUUUCAACAACGGAUCUCUUGGUUCUG